GUUAAAAAGCUCGUAGUUGGAUUUCUGCGGGGGCGGGGCGGCCGGUUGCUUAUAGCAACUCGAGCUAGCACUUCCCCUGCAUCCUGCCGCGAACCGUGCUACCAUUAGUUUGGUGGCGCCGGGGAUCGGCUCGUUUACUUUGAGAAAAAUAGAGUGUUCAAAGCAGGCCACACGCCUUGAAUAAGUUAGCAUGGAAUAAUGAUAAAGGACUUCGGUUCUAUUUUGUUGGUGUUCGGGACUGAAGUAAUGAUUGAUAGGGACAGUUGGGGCGGUCAGUAUUCCAAAGCGAGAGGUGAAAUUCUUAGACCUUCGGAAGACUAACAGCUGCGAAAGCGUUCCGCAAGGAUGUUCCCUUUGAUCAAGAACGAAAGUUGGGGGAUCGAAGACGAUCAGAUACCGUCGUAGUCUCAACUAUAAACUAUACCAGCUAGGGAUCGGCCGACGUUUACUUAUAUCGACUCGGUCGGCACCUUAUGAGAAAUCAAAGCAUCUGGGUUCCGGGGGGAGU
rnacentral:rRNA from 1 species